rnacentral:lncRNA from 1 species
GCAGCGUCCAUCUCCACAUUGAUCUCACCACCCACCUGGCCUCGCAGGGCGUUCAUCUCCUAUGGAAAAAGGGGAUGUGGAUGUGCGCAUCUGGACCCAUCCUGACCUCUCACUCCCAAGCCUUCCCCCACAAGGGGACCCCACUUCCCACAAGGACCCCUCCUUUGUUCUCCCUCUGCUCUAUCUGACCCUCUAAAUGAUUUUUAUUCAUCUGCUCAGUAUUGCCUCCACCAUCAGACUCUAUCUCCCCCAUUAGACCAAGGACUCUCCAAAAUAAAAUCUAAUUAUUAGGCCUAUGCCCCCAAAA